rfam:Candidatus Zambryskibacteria bacterium RIFCSPLOWO2_01_FTLL_43_17 rifcsplowo2_01_scaffold_2436, whole genome shotgun sequence.
GGGGAUGAUCGGCCUAGACAGCAGGACUCAUUUGAAAAAUGCAUGAGAGAGCUCGGGUAACUCUUUAAUCUGCCCGAAAGACAAAUGCAAACAGCAUAGUCGCACGAGCAAAGUCAGUAGUUUCUCCAUAUUUUGGAGCUAACGAUUUUGCUUUCGCUUACGCUCGAGGUUAACUCGCGUUCGCGACGUCAACUCUUGUGAAGUCUCAAUGCAAGAUGUUGGUGUAAUACCAUGAGACUCUAGAAGGUGAGUGCUUCGGCGCCUUCCAAACUGUAGGAGCUCGCGGAAGAAAGGUUUUGUUCGUUCUCUACUUGCUUCUGUUAAAUCCGCAUUUGCGGAAAAAACGAAAUAACUCUUGUAGAAAUUUUUCAAAUCUCUUGUUGCACCCGAGUUCGAUUCUCGGCAUCUCCACAU